CCUACGGGAGGCUGCAGUGGGGAAUAUUGGACAAUGGGGGGAACCCUGAUCCAGCCAUGCCGCGUGUGUGAAGAAGGCCCUCGGGUUGUAAAGCACUUUCAGUGAGGAAGAACGCCUGGUGGUUAAUACCCAUCAGGAAAGACAUCACUCACAGAAGAAGCACCGGCUAACUCCGUGCCAGCAGCCGCGGUAAUACGGAGGGUGCGAGCGUUAAUCGGAAUUACUGGGCGUAAAGCGCGCGUAGGUGGCUUGAUAAGCCGGUUGUGAAAGCCCCGGGCUCAACCUGGGAACGGCAUCCGGAACUGUCAAGCUAGAGUGCAGGAGAGGAAGGUAGAAUUCCCGGUGUAGCGGUGAAAUGCGUAGAGAUAGGGAGGAAUACCAGUGGCGAAGGCGGCCUUCUGGACUGACACUGACACUGAGGUGCGAAAGCGUGGGUAGCAAACAGGAUUAGAUACCCGGGUAGUC
rnacentral:rRNA from 1 species